rnacentral:rRNA from 1 species
GACGAACGCUGGCGACGUGCUUAACACAUGCAAGUCGAACGGAAAGGCCCUGCUUUUGUGGGGUGCUCGAGUGGCGAACGGGUGAGUAACACGUGAGUAACCUGCCCUUGACUUUGGGAUAACUUCAGGAAACUGGGGCUAAUACCGGAUAGGAGCUCCUGCUGCAUGGUGGGGGUUGGAAAGUUUCGGCGGUUGGGGAUGGACUCGCGGCUUAUCAGCUUGUUGGUGGGGUAGUGGCUUACCAAGGCUUUGACGGGUAGCCGGCCUGAGAGGGUGACCGGCCACAUGGGACUGAGAUACGGCCCAGACUCCUACGGGAGGCAGCAGUGGGGAAUAUUGCACAAUGGGCGGAAGCCUGAUGCAGCAACGCCGCGUGCGGGAUGACGGCCUUCGGGUUGUAAACCGCUUUCGCCUGUGACGAAGCGUGAGUGACGGUAAUGGGUAAAGAAGCACCGGCUAACUACGUGCCAGCAGCCGCGGUGAUACGUAGGGUUCGAGCGUUGUCCGGAUUUAUUGGGCGUAAAGGGCUCGUAGGUGGUUGAUCGCGUCGGAAGUGUAAUCUUGGGGCUUAACCCUGAGCGUGCUUUCGAUACGGGUUGACUUGAGGAAGGUAGGGGAGAAUGGAAUUCCUGGUGGAGCGGUGGAAUGCGCAGAUAUCAGGAGGAACACCAGUGGCGAAGGCGGUUCUCUGGGCCUUUCCUGACGCUGAGGAGCGAAAGCGUGGGGAGCGAACAGGCUUAGAUACCCUGGUAGUCCACGCUGUAAACGGUGGGUACUAGGUGUGGGGUCCAUUCCACGGGUUCCGUGCCGUAGCUAACGCUUUAAGUACCCCGCCUGGGGAGUACGGCCGCAAGGCUAAAACUCAAAGGAAUUGACGGGGCCCCGCACAAGCGGCGGAGCAUGCGGAUUAAUUCGAUGCAACGCGUAGAACCUUACCUGGGUUUGACAUGGAUCGGGAGUGCUCAGAGAUGGGUGUGCCUCUUUUGGGGUCGGUUCACAGGUGGUGCAUGCCUGUCGUCAGCUCGUGUCGUGAGAUGUUGGGUUAAGUCCCGCAACGAGCGCAACCCUUGUUCACUGUUGCCAGCACGUUAUGGUGGGGACUCAGUGGAGACCGCCGGGGUCAACUCGGAGGAAGGUGGGGAUGACGUCAAGUCCUCAUGCCCCUUAUGUCCAGGGCUUCACGCAUGCUACAAUGGCUGGUACAGAGAGUGGCGAGCCUGUGAGGGUGAGCGAAUCUCGGAAAGCCGGUCUCAGUUCGGAUUGGGGUCUGCAACUCGACCUCAUGAAGUCGGAGUCGCUAGUAAUCGCAGAUCAGCAACGCUGCGGUGAAUACGUUCCCGGG